GUUGCAGUUAAAAGCUCAUAGUUGAACCUUGAGCCUGGCUGGCCGGUCCGCCUCACCGCGUGCACUGGUCCGGCCGGGCUUUUCCUUCUGGGGAGCCGCAUGCCCUUCACUGGGUGUGUCGGGGAACCAGGACUUUUACUUUGAAAAAAUUAGAGUGUUCAAAGCAGGCCUAUGCUCGAAUACAUUAGCAUGGAAUAAUAGAAUAGGACGUGUGGUUCUAUUUUGUUGGUUUCUAGGACCGCCGUAGUGAUUAAUAGGGAUAGUCGGGGGCAUCAGUAUUCAAUUGUCAGAGGUGAAAUUCUUGGAUUUAUUGAAGACUAACUACUGCGAAAGCAUUUGCCAAGGAUGUUUUCAUUAAUCAGUGAACGAAAGUUAGGGGAUCGAAGACGAUCAGAUACCGUCGUAGUCUUAACCAUAAACUAUGCCGACUAGGGAUCGGACGGUGUUAUUUUUUGACCCGUCCGGCACCUUACGAGAAAUCAAAGUGCUUGGGCUCCAGGGGAAGUAUGGUCGCAAGGCUGAAACUUAAAGAAAUUGACGGAAGGGCACCACCAGGAGUGGAGCCUGCGGCUUAAUUUGACUCAACACGGGGAAACUCACCAGGUCCAGACACAAUGAGGAUUGACAGAUUGAGAGCUCUUUCUUGAUUUUGUGGGUGGUGGUGCAUGGCCGUUCUUAGUUGGUGGAGUGAUUUGUCUGCUUAAUUGCGAUAACGAACGAGACCUUGACCUGCUAAAUAGCCCGUAUUGCUUUGGCAGUACGCUGGCUUCUUAGAGGGACUUUCGGCUCAAGCCGACGAGUUCGAGCAUACAGGUCUGGGAUGCCCUUAGAUGUCUGGGCCGCACGCGCGCUACAUGAC
rnacentral:rRNA from 1 species